rnacentral:lncRNA from 1 species
UCAGAAAGUUCUAAACUGUGCUAAAUUGCAUCUUUUCCAGUAUGUCUACUGUGGCCAGGCCUUGUACUAACAGUUUUCUGCAUUAUUAAUUCCAGUGUGGAAGUUUAUAGCUGGAAGCCAAAGAAACCUGCUCUAAGGAAGAGCGUGCCAGAGCCACCUCUAGCUGUUUCAAGCGUGCAACACAGGUGAAUCGCCUGCACAAGCUGGGGCAAGCUCCCCAGACACCAAGUGAACUAGCAUGAGAGGAAUAACACAAUUGCUCGUGAAAACUAGAAAAUCGUCACCAAGCAAUUAAUCCAGAUUAGGAACCCUCUGAAAAUAGAAUGAAACCCAUUGUCUCUUUAAACAAGGCACAUUGCACUCCAUUACAGAAGCUGCCUUAUCUGCCACAGGAAUUCUGUUUGACAGUUCACUUCAAAAUGAGCCUCCAUUUUGGGAGGUCCAU